rnacentral:rRNA from 1 species
ACCCGCCGAACUUAAGCAUAUCAGUAAGCGGAGGAAAAGAAACUAACUAGGAUUCCCCGAGUAACGGCGAGCGAAAGGGGAGAAGCCCAGCGCCGAAGCCCGCGGCCCCCGGUCGCAGUGCAAUGUGGCGUUACGGUGGCGGCUCGCCGCGACUUCUCUGGCGCGCGUACCUCUGAACGGGUCUGCCCGCAGCGGGUGUCAGGCCUCUACUUUGCCGAGAGUCGUCGCGGCCCGCAGUCACCGCGGAGUCGGGUUGCUUGAUAGUGCAGCCCAAAGCGGGUGGUAAGCUCCAUCUAAGGCUAAAUACCUAGUGCGAGACCGAUAGCAAACAAGUACCGUGAGGGAAAGUUGCAAAGAACUUUGAAAAGAGAGUUCAAGAGUACGUGAAACCGUUCAGAGGCAAACGGACGGAACCGGGCGAGUUCGCCGUCCGCCAUUCAGCCGCCGCGCUCGCGCGGCGGUGCACUUGGCGGCGGCGGAGCGCGACGACCGUCUGCCCGGCUGUCAGAAGGCCGGCGGCAAGGUGGCUGCGCGCUCGCGCGCAGUGUUACAGGCCGCCGCGCGUAACGACCGGCCGGGCGGGCGAGGAGCGCCUGCGGUGCGCU